CUUCGUUUACGCCGUAUGCGUUGUCGGCUUCUUGGUCGUUGCCGCCGCCUUAGACGUAUCGCCUUCAGCGAAUUGGUGCCGCGCUUUGACGAGUUUCAAUCGACUAUAAGACUAUGGCAUUCAACGUCCUAUUGCCGUCUAAACUAUUUGUUUAUUGUUCUUUUUUUUUAAUUAAAAAUUCGGUAUUUACUCAAAGGAAUUACUUAGGUACGUGAAAAAUUUAACGCGACGCCGCCAUUGCCACAGCCGUUCAACAAUAUACUGAAACGUGGAUCAUUUUGAUGCACCGUUCCGACUUAGUGACUACGAGUAAGCUCGAAUACAGAACGAAAACAUCGCGACGCGGCAUAAUCCAUGACAAUUGACAGUGAUGACAACAAUUGGGGCUGCUACUCUUAUUUGUUAGUGUGCAGCUACCGAAUUGCCGCAAGUCGCAUGAAAAGCGUGACAAACGGAAAGCGCUAUUUGUUGACGCGUUGCGAGUGUAAAUUGUGCCUGCCACAGCGGCUGCUCGUACAGAUCAUCGCUGGGGUCGCAGAGAAGCUGCGAUCAAAUGCGCAAACACCCACCCACCUUACAGCGCAACAUACUACCCAGGAGCUUUAUUUUUGGCUUAAUUAUUAUCGUAUUUGUAUAUAUGUAAGUAAGUACGUAUAUAUGUAUGCAUAUCGUAUAUAUUUAUAUGUACUUGCAUGCAUGUAUAGAUCUACGUUAAUGUGGGUACAUCAGACGCCAAUUUUCAUAUUUAGGUAUGCGUGCCUUAUUCAGCCAAGGCGGCGUAAGUCAGCGCUAAAAUUCAGGUAGAAUUCAUUUGGUUGAAAAUUUGAAGCGAGAAAAUAAAUGGUUGAGUUAAAACCAA